UCCUGUCGCAGCCAACUGCUGUGCCUUUUCCUUCCCUGCUGAGUUCAUCAGAGGUUCCUGUCGCAGUCGAUUGCUCCGCCUUUUUCCUUUCCUGCUGUGUUCAUCAGUGGUUGGACAGUCGGCUUGUUCGGCGUCUUGCCGGCUUGUCGCGUGCGUGACUGCUUUCUUUGCUGCCUAGCUCUCGGUUUUUCCCGUAGUUCUGCUUGGUUCUCUGCUUUGGUUGGUUUUGCUCUGCUCUCCUCGUUGCUCCUGCCGCCCCUGCGCGGGUGCGCCGGCGAGUAAGACGUUUUCUAUUAUUUUUGGUACGGUCAGCUGAUGAUUUGUAUGCCUCUAAUUCGCCUGCCGUUAGCGGAUUCCUGCUGCGUGCUGCUGCUUCUCUUCCUUCGUGCGAUGAUGCUUUCUGUUCUGGUUGCUGAUGGAGCUGUUUCCCUCUUUGUGCCUUUUAUACUUCCACUUUUUUUUGCAGGUGCUGUGUGGAUUCAGAGAGGCUCUUGUUUCCUCACGCGUAAUCGUUGCUUAGAGCAGCUUAUCUGCUUCUGUUUCCACUUUGCACCUCCUGAUUACUUGCUUGGCCUGCCUGCUGCUGCAGCUCGCUUGGCUUAUCUGGUUCUAGAUCUCUUUUUCCGAACGCUGCGCGUGUGUUCGCUCUGUAGGGUUCUGAUCUAUGCUGUGCUACGCAUGAUUGGUCUUGGUAGGGCUGUUCAUUUUUUUCCUUUAUUUAGCAGUAUCUCAUGCUGUGUUCAGCAGUACCUUAUGCCGUGUUAGAUACUUUUUGUCCUUCCUCCCAUAGUUCCUGCCAGGAGGUAGUCCUGAUUUUCCCAACCGUUUCAAUUAGCAGGCUCUUUGGAUUGGGCUCUUGGUUUGCUUGAACCUUCUCUGCUGCUCACAUAGUUCCUGCCAGGAGGUAGUCCUGAUUUUCCCAACCGUUUCAAUUAGCAGGCUCUUUGGAUUGGGCUCUUGGUUUGCUUGAACCUUCUCUGCUGCUCACAAGCUCACAAGUCACAAGGGAUACGAAGACUGGCUAAACCCCCCCUCCCAGACCAAUAGUUGAGCACUCAAAAUAGUUCGCCAGAUGACACAGGGCUCCAUGGCGACUACUACGAGUACGACUCUGACCGUGAGCCUUGGGAAUGGAAGCACAAGUGCUGAAGAAGCAUCUACAAAAUCUACACGUCGUUCUGCAGAGCAUCGACCAAUGGAGUACAAAACUGAUUCAGCUCCAUCCAGACACAGGUACCCUCCGGAUCCACACAGGGUUGCCAGUUCGGAAGUGGUGGUUGCUGCUUUGUGUUGUCUACUUGGUGUGCGGCUGUCCCUGUCGAGGAUUUGAUUUGCUUGGACGGUUUUCGUGCUGCAGCGACGGAUCCUCACGGUGAGUGCGACGCUCCUACAUUUUAUUUUAGGUUCUUUUUACGGUGUACAAUACGACUAUAUACUACCGUUCGAGAAGGACUCAUAUGCAAAGAUCAGACAGGUGAGAUUUGUUUAUACUACUGCAACUUGAAUCAGUAGUAUAGGGUAGUAUAUGUAGGUAGUAUAGAUAGUAUAAGGGUAGUUUGGGAAAGAUGAUUAUUGAUAUUUAUUCUUUUAUAUUAUUUUUUUUCUCUUUCUCUUUAUUUUGUUGUUCAUUUCUUCGCCUCCAACCGAUGAGCCCGGCGGCACCCCGUUCCGGUCUUCCCUUGCCACGAGCUCGGCGGCGCUCCGUUCCGGCAUUCCCUCGUCACGAGCUCGGCGGCGCCUAGGGUUUCCCACGUCCUACCAUCGGCCCCUCGGAGGAUGGUGGGCAACGGCUCGCCCCCGAGAAGGGAUCCGUGGCGGCGGAUCGGCCCCGGCGGCGCAUCAAGGCCCAUGGGAGGAGGGUGUGCAGCGGCUUGCCAACGCAGUGGAUUCGGCAUGCGGACGGUCCCCCGCUCGGGCGCCAAGUCCUUGGCGGCGGCGGCGGCGGCCGCCACCUGUGCCCUCUAGUGGGAACGGCGCGGAUCCGUGAAGUCGACCCCCGCGCUGCCUUCUCUCGCUGCCGGGUGAGGGUGAGGGUGACGGCGAGAUCCCGAUCGGCGGCUCGGCGCUUGACUCCUUGGCGGCGGCGGCCCCCGCGACCGUGGAGGGAAUGGCGGCGCUCGGCUCGCGAAUUGUGCCCCUUCCCGGCAGCGGACACGCCGGCGGCCGGCCUCCCCGGCACGCGCAGGAGGAUGGUUGCGGCAGCCGUCGGCACGUGGGGGCGGCCACACACGUCGGACUGCCCCCGCCGUCCCCAGCGGCCUCCGCUGCUGCGUCGAGCCUCGGCGCGAGAAGUCCUGUCCAUGCUCCACUCAGUGAUCGUCCCGCAAUCCUGCACUGCGAUUCUCCCACGAACUUGCAGGAGAUCCCUCUGUAGCCUUUCUACAAGAAUUUACUUAGUAUUUUGUUUAUGGAAAUCAUUGGUUAGUCUUGGUAUUCGGUGCAGUCCAGCAACGUCUGAUUUUUGCCGGCAGGAAGCUGGAGGAUGGCCGCACCCUUGCCGGCUUCAACAUCCAAAAGGAGUUCACACUCCACCUGGUGCUCCGCCUCCAUGGUGAUCCGCAAGCCAUCGGUCAUUCAAGCUGCUGCUGGGCAUUGUCUUUGAAGCAUCUGUGUCAUUUGUGUCAAGAUUAUGUCUGGUUUCAUUAAUUGGUUUGUGUCUGUGUUCACCUGAAACAGUUGUUGCUGUAAAACAGUAUGACAUAAUCAUGAUUAAGUAGGUUUGUGCUGUGCAGAACGUUAUUUUU